GACGAACGCUGGCGGCGUGCUUAACACAUGCAAGUCGAACGGAAAGGCCCUGCUUUUGUGGGGUGCUCGAGUGGCGAACGGGUGAGUAACACGUGAGUAACCUGCCCUUGACUUUGGGAUAACUUCAGGAAACUGGGGCUAAUACCGGAUAGGAGCUCCUGCUGCAUGGUGGGGGUUGGAAAGUUUCGGCGGUUGGGGAUGGACUCGCGGCUUAUCAGCUUGUUGGUGGGGUAGUGGCUUACCAAGGCUUUGACGGGUAGCCGGCCUGAGAGGGUGACCGGCCACAUUGGGACUGAGAUACGGCCCAGACUCCUACGGGAGGCAGCAGUGGGGAAUAUUGCACAAUGGGCGGAAGCCUGAUGCAGCAACGCCGCGUGCGGGAUGAAGGCCUUCGGGUUGUAAACCGCUUUCGCCUGUGACGAAGCGUGAGUGACGGUAAUGGGUAAAGAAGCACCGGCUAAUUACGUG
rnacentral:rRNA from 1 species